ACGGGGCAAUGCCUUAGUAGCGGCGAGUGAAGCGGCAAAAGCUCAAAUUUGAAAUCUGGCACUUUCAGUGUCCGAGUUGUAAUUUGAAGAAGGUAUCUUUGGGUCUGGCUCUUGUCUAUGUUUCUUGGAACAGAACGUCACAGAGGGUGAGAAUCCCGUGCGAUGAGAUGUCCCAGACCUAUGUAAAGUUCCUUCGAAGAGUCGAGUUGUUUGGGAAUGCAGCUCUAAGUGGGUGGUAAAUUCCAUCUAAAGCUAAAUAUUGGCGAGAGACCGAUAGCGAACAAGUACAGUGAUGGAAAGAUGAAAAGAACUUUGAAAAGAGAGUGAAAAAGUACGUGAAAUUGUUGAAAGGGAAGGGCUUGAGAUCAGACUUGGUAUUUUGUAUGUUACUCUCUCGGGGGUGGCCUCUACAGUUUACCGGGCCAGCAUCAGUUUGAGCGGUAGGAUAAGUGCAAAGAAAUGUGGCACUGCUUCGGUAGUGUGUUAUAGUCUUUGUCGAUACUGCCAGCUUAGACUGAGGACUGCGGCUUCGGCCUAGGAUGUUGGCAUAAUGAUCUUAAGUCGCCCGYCUUGAAMMAMGGRAAMCAAA
rnacentral:rRNA from 1 species